rnacentral:rRNA from 1 species
GUGGGGAAUAUUGGGCAAUGGAGGCAACUCUGACCCAGCAACGCCGCGUGAAUGAAGAAGGCCUUCGGGUUGUAAAGUUCUUUAAUGGGGGACGAAGAAAGUGACGGUACCCCAAGAAUAAGCCACGGCUAACUACGUGCCAGCAGCCGCGGUAAUACGUAGGUGGCAAGCGUUGUCCGGAAUGACUGGGCGUAAAGGGAGCGUAGGCGGCGCGGUAAGUUAGGAGUGAAAUCCCGGGGCUCAACCCCGGAACUGCUUUUAAAACUGCCGUGCUUGAGUGAUGGAGAGGAAAGCGGAAUUCCUAGUGUAGCGGUGGAAUGCGUAGAUAUUAGGAGGAACACCAGAGGCGAAGGCGGCUUUCUGGACAUUAACUGACGCUGAGGCUCGAAAGCGUGGGGAGCAAACAGGA